UAUAUCCCCGCCUCCAGCCUCCCGCCUGCCCAGGGCAAGUACAAAACAAUUGGGCGUGGCCCCGCCUCUACACCCACGUGGGGGCUUUUAGGGGCUUGAGGGUGCUAGGCUCUGACUGGGUACAGACUCCUUCCUUCCCUGCAUCCCUCUUUCCCGACGCCUGUCUAAGCACCAACAGUGAUGUCUGGGUCUCCUUGGGCUAAAUACCCCUUCCCAGGCAUCUGUGGGGAGGUGGGCCCUGGCGCCCCCCAAAACUCACAGCCCCCACCUGCUCUUGUUCCCGCCUUGACCCCUACCCUAGCCUUCCCCUGCCGAGACACCUGCACUGACCUGGACACUUCACCCCUGGGUUCUGGGGGCCCCCCAAGGCCAGCUAGUCCAGUGAGCCGACCCAGAGGCUGAGAGCCCCCACCUAGGCAGAGCGCCACCGCCCCAACUCUCCCCCUGCCCAAGCUGCUCGGCCCACAGCUCCCAGCAUGCUCUCCCCUGGCCUGUUCUCAGGGUGGCCCUGCUCCCCUUGCCCCCUCCCUAAACUCUCAGAAGCCUUAGUUUGUAGAUGCCGGAUAGGAUACAACCUCACUGGGCCCUCACUACUGCUCAGCAAUCCUGCUACACCUGCUUUAUCGAUCCCCUCUCCCCAGAAGGUCUCCCACACUUUUUCAUCCCUCCUGUGACCUCCCAUGGCUCCCCCUCCCCUGCCAUGCUGGCUCGGACCCCUGCCUCAUCUUUUCAGAACAAAUGGAGGUCAUUCACACAGAGAUCCCUCUUCUCUUUUCCCCCCUGUCCCUUCACUCAGGUCCUUCUGCCCCCUGUCCUCCUUCACCUUGUCUCCCAAGUCAAGGCAGCCUCAGUCCUGUGCCUCCUCAGGUCAUCCCCCUGAACACCCCGCCUUCCCCCACACCCUCUACGUACCACAUCUGCCCAGGAAUUUGGAAGGAGGGUUCUAGGCUACUCACUGCUUGCCACUAAAACACUGAAACAUAGCAGGACUGUUGGACAGUCAGUCCAAUGUUCCAUCCUUGGAGAGAAGCUCUGGAGCUCCCAAGGCUGUUUCCAAGUUGGAAAGGACACCCAUGAGCCAGCAAACAGGGGGCCUGCAGAGCCUGACUCAGGCUUAUCUGAAGGAGCCCCUGUGUCAUCAGCCACAUGUGGAAGGGAGAAAGGGCCCCAGAAAGCAGUGCAGGCCUGAGACCAGGCCACCUAGACCCAGGACCUCUGAGGUCCCCAGUCAUCUGUCCUGAGGAGCCAUGCAGUGGGGAUCAACCCUGGGAGAUGGAGGUCAGCACAGGAGCCAAGGUGACCCAGGACCAGCCUUAACCCCAAAUCACUGGGCUCUAUCUAUCACUCAGGACCUCUUUUCACAUCUUACCAUGAGAGCAGCAAUGGAUGGGGAGGUGCCUGCUGGGCAUGAGCCAGUGAGGAGCGCCAAGGAAGGACAAUGGGAAUUAAAAGCAAUGGAUGCAGGAGGAGGAGCCUGGCUGCUUCCACAAGGGCAGGAGCAAGGGAGGACAUCUGGAUGCCACACAGCUCCCCUGGUUGCUCCCAAGGUCAGGAGUGGGUGGAGAAGGCAGCCAGCCCAUCGGGUGACACCUUGCCUUUAGCCCAUCUCAUUGGAGGGAGUCUUCACAUUAAGGACAUCUCUGCUUGUCUCCACUUACUGGUGCACGUCAUCUUUCCAGACAGAACAUAAGCCCAUGACCCUGCUGCCUGUGCAAUCUCAGUGCCCAGCAAGACACGUGACACAGUCAUAGCAGACACAGGGUCUCUUCGUUGGCUGCAUGACUUGUAUGCUACUCUCCCUGUGCCAAUGCCUUAUCCUUUGUCCUCUCACCAAGCCCACCUGGCGAGUCCCCAAC